rnacentral:tRNA from 1 species
AGGAAUUUAGCUUAGUAGGUUAGAGCGUACUGUUUGUGCACAUCAGUAAGACAUGGGUUCGACUCCCAUAAUUUCUG